UGCCCAGCAACUCCUAUCCCUACCUCCUCGUGUUACCGACCGGAAACUAUGAGCAACCUUAGGGAAGAUCGGGUAACCAACCCCGGUGGGAACUUUGGUCGUAGGCUGACAGGGAAGG
rfam:Aedes albopictus isolate Foshan contig39759, whole genome shotgun sequence.